CGGAAUGUAGCCUAGUCUGGUAGGGCGUCUGCUUUGGGAGCAGAAGAUCGUGUGUUCGAAUCACACCAUUCCGA
rnacentral:tRNA from 1 species